GGCUAAAAAAUAUAUACUUUUCCUCCCAUCUUCUAAAUUCUUCUAGCCGGACUAAUAAUCACAUUAACAGAGACAGAUUCACAGGAGAAAAUCAAGAUUUAACACAUGC